UACGUAGGGGGCGAGCGUUGUCCGGAUUUAUUGGGCGUAAAGGGCGUGUAGGCGGCCGCGCAAGGGUGGGGUGAAAUCUCCCGGCUCAACCGGGAGGGGUCCCUGCCGACUGCGCGGCUGGAGGCUGGUAGGGGCGCGCGGAAUUCCCGGUGUAGUGGUGAAAUGCGUAGAGAUCGGGAGGAACACCGGUGGCGAAGGCGGCGCGCUGGGCCAAGCCUGACGCUGAGGCGCGAAAGCGUGGGGAGCGAACAGG
rnacentral:rRNA from 1 species